rnacentral:lncRNA from 1 species
GGUGGGAGGCCCUCGCGGCCGGGGUGACCCCAGGGCCAGGAGGUGUCCCCGCGCCUCGGUGGAUGCCCAGUGAGCUGCGGGACAGGGCGCCCCACAACUUGGUGGGGAGGCCCCGGUCGAGUCCUGCUCAAACCCGCGGGGGAACGACCGUUGGAAUGUUCGCACGUGGUGGCACAGAGAGUAGAUUUCUGGUCGUUUCCCCGGUGGUCGGUGCCGGGACCCUGUAGACACCUUGAGUGAGUGGUUUCGGGUUCAAAUCUCACGGUCUCCAGAAAGGGGUACCGUUAUUAUCUCCGUGGACAAUGAGGGAACUCAGGCUCAGGGACGUUUUCUUGCCCAAGGGCACCCCUCCGGUCUCGGUCACCUGAGUGGAAACGUAGGAAGCCUCACUUCAGACCCUCGUAUGAAACCGUCGGGGAGCAGACUUGGGAGUCAUUACUGUAAAAUUGAUGUUCUUAAUGCUGUGCCGGUGACCGUGAGGGCGUUGUCAUCACCGGGCGCUCAGUCAACUUUGCUAACGUUCGCUCUGAACUUCGUGUCUGCCUUCCGCACGGUGCCCGGCAGAUGCCGGCAGUGGGUGGGCCAUCCAGGGCUGAAACCUGGUUCUGAUCCGGAGGAGCUCGCAGUCCGGGGAGGCAGAAAGGGGCCAGGGUCACAGCUGUGCAUUUGUCAAGCGCCCAAGUCGGUAGAGACGGCCACCAGCCCGGGGAUCAGGAAGGUUGCCCACGUCACGCUAAGGGUUUUACAAAAGAGGCAAAGUGUUCUACCUCUAGAUUUUUUCCAUUUUUUUUCCCCAUAAAUCAAAACAUCUCAAAAUGGAGGCCUAACACCCUUAAAAGGGACUUAGUCUGAUCUCCGGGAGGUAGUUUUGUGCAUGAAGAAACAAAUUAAGUGUGAACUGGAGUUUUUAUUAUCCCAAAGGAUGUUAAUUUUAAACAAUACAGUCUAGUGGCAUGAGGUGUAACUAUAAAGUCAUGAUGAUCUCGUCUUUGAAUUUGACUGGUGGAUAUAAAGGGAAGUGAUUGUAGCCAGAACAGAACAGAGAGAAGGAACUUGUGUUUGGUACAGACCUGAAAAUGAGCGACAGUUAUCUAGAACAAUGUUCACCCCUCUACUAAGUUAGAGAAGCACGCAGGUGAGGCCUCUGACAGGUCAAGAGACUUCCAUGGUGACAAAGAAAUGUCCAGAACAAGACUUUGCGGUGCCCCAAGUGUCGAGUAUGGCACACUAGCAUGGACGAUCGGUAAAGGAAUGAUCUAAGCACUUAUCUGACUGUGCAUGUGUUAAAAGCCUCAAGUUCGGCUUGUUUGAAUGGGCUGUUAUCUCCGAGAAGGAUGACGGUGAGAAUGAUGGCUGGGUGGUCCAUUUUGGGAAAAGAACAGACUUACGCAGACACAGUGACUAGCCCUGGAAGGGUUUCUGCAGUAAUGUGUAAAAUUUUUGUCCACUGCUGACGUUAGACACAAUCACUGAUCCCUGGAACAGAGCUACGUUUCUCAUAUCACCUGGAAGUAAAGAGCCAAAGUCGCAGCGGAAACCCCAACACCUGUGGGACCCAGGAAACUGCGCAGAAAUCACGGCUAGAGAAGCCACGAAGACCCGUUUGCAGAUUGUUGUUCAUGUUACUGACACAGAAACUUUUUACUGAUAGCUGGUCGUAAUUGAGAAACUCUGAACUUUCACAAGGUCUCUGUUUGGCAAAAGGAGGGGAUUGUGACAACGUAAAUUCAUUAUUUUCUUGUUGCGAUGAAUUCUGACUCAAGGUAUGCUGUCUUUGGGAUUUCUGACCAAAGCCACAUUUUUACACUUCGAUUAUUCAUCUUAGUGUACAGACUCAGCCCUCUGACUUUUGACUGUUUUAAGAAACAAAUCCAUUGUCAGAAUAGAUUUGGUAGUGUCUUUCAACAGCGUGAAGCUGAGCCUAAAAAGACCAGUUGAACAAACACAUUCUGCUCUGAGGAUUUAUUUGAAAUACAGUAUUCAGUUUGCUAAGUUCUACUGGCAUCACUAGGACUAAGUAACCAAGCUGCUGACUAUGGGAAGUAAUUGUCGUUCAGGUAAUUUUGAAACAGGACUUAAGAUGCAUCAGCCAAUUCUGUUCCCACUUCAGCUCUUCGUUUGUAGGAAAAUUCUAGAUCGUUUCCUUGUUCCUAUUACAGAUAUUCUAGGAAGAAAAAUUACUUAAUUUGAGCACGAUUUGGGAUAGAUUGUAUUCCAUCGCAUCUAAGAUGUCACUAAUUGGAAAACACACCAUUAUUUUAUAUAGUUCCAAGAGAUAAAAGCCCUGCUAAUUAAAAUACGGUAUUUGUUAGCUGAAAGAUACCUCUGGGUAACAGAGGUGUUAGUUAAAAAGAUACAUCCUACAAUCAGUGAAAUGACCCCCACGUACUCGUUUCUUCUGUUCAGGCAGGUCUUACGCUUUUCUUUCCUUCUGGCUACCAAAUUUCAUAAUUAAAAAAAAGCAAAAUAAACAUAGUUUGGAUUUUUUUCUGUGGAGCACGUACAGGGCAUAGGUUUCCUCCCCGAAAACAGGCUGGCAGUGUGAGCCCCACGCCUGGUCUCCAGGCCAGCCGGGCACCGUGAAGCCCCCCCGCCGAGGCGCUGUCCUGCCUGCAGGGGUGCCCGACGCCGAGUGGCAUCUUGGUGACCUGAAGCGCUCCCCGCUUGUGCGCAGGGUUUUGAUUUCCACGACGAGGUGCCGUGUGCCAUCGUGCUCGCGCUGUGUGUGUAAAGAUUAUGGAAAAGUGCAGUCGCACACACUCUCCCCCUACCGCGUGUCCGCGUCGAGCUUAGAAUCUCACCAUGCGGAAGCCCUGAAUACACAGAGGGAAAGAAGGACAAGAGACUUCCUGUUCUGGGUGUCCGCCUAGUGAUCAA